rnacentral:rRNA from 1 species
GACGAACGCUGGCGGCGUGCUUAACACAUGCAAGUCGAACGGAAAGGCCCUGCUUUUGUGGGGUGCUCGAGUGGCGAACGGGUGAGUAACACGUGAGUAACCUGCCCUUGACUUUGGGGUAACUUCAGGAAACUGGGGCUAAUACCGGAUAGGAGCUCCUGCUGCAUGGUGGGGGUUGGAAAGUUUCGGCGGUUGGGGAUGGGCUCGCGGCUUAUCAGCUUGUUGGUGGGGUAGUGGCUUACCAAGGCUUUGACGGGUAGCCGGCCUGAGAGGGUGACCGGCCACAUUGGGACUGAGAUACGGCCCAGACUCCUACGGGAGGCAGCAGUGGGGAAUAUUGCACAAUGGGCGGAAGCCUGAUGCAGCAACGCCGCGUGCGGGAUGACGGCCUUCGGGUUGUAAACCGCUUUCGCCUGUGACGAAGCGUGAGUGACGGUAAUGGGUAAAGAAGCACCGGCUAACUACGUG